rnacentral:rRNA from 1 species
AUUGAACGCUGGCGGCAGGCCUAACACAUGCAAGUCGAGCGGAUGAAGGGAGCUUGCUCCUGGAUUCAGCGGCGGACGGGUGAGUAAUGCCUAGGAAUCUGCCUGGUAGUGGGGGAUAACGUCCGGAAACGGGCGCUAAUACCGCAUACGUCCUGAGGGAGAAAGUGGGGGAUCUUCGGACCUCACGCUAUCAGAUGAGCCUAGGUCGGAUUAGCUAGUUGGUGGGGUAAAGGCCUACCAAGGCGACGAUCCGUAACUGGUCUGAGAGGAUGAUCAGUCACACUGGAACUGAGACACGGUCCAGACUCCUACGGGAGGCAGCAGUGGGGAAUAUUGGACAAUGGGCGGAAGCCUGAUCCAGCCAUGCCGCGUGUGUGAAGAAGGUCUUCGGAUUGUAAAGCACUUUAAGUUGGGAGGAAGGGCAGUAAGCUAAUACCUUGCUGUUUUGACGUUACCAACAGAAUAAGCACCGGCUAACUUCGUG